GACGAACGCUGGCGGCGUGCUUAACACAUGCGAGUCGAACGAUGAAGCUAGAGCUUGCUCUGGUGAAUUAGUGGCGAACGGGUGAGUAACACGUGAGUAACCUGCCCCGAACUCUGGGAUAACUGCUGGAAACGGUAGCUAAUACUGGAUACGACCUACGAAGGCAUCUUCUGUAGGUGGAAAGAAUUUCGGUUCGGGAUGGACUCGCGGCCUAUCAGCUUGUUGGUGAGGUAAUGGCUCACCAAGGCGACGACGGGUAGCCGGCCUGAGAGGGUGACCGGCCACACUGGGACUGAGACACGGCCCAGACUCCUACGGGAGGCAGCAGUGGGGAAUAUUGCACAAUGGGCGCAAGCCUGAUGCAGCAACGCCGCGUGAGGGAUGACGGCCUUCGGGUUGUAAACCUCUUUUAGUAGGGAAGAAGCGAAAGUGACGGUACCUGCAGAAAAAGCACCGGCUAACUACGUGCCAGCAGCCGCGGUAA
rnacentral:rRNA from 1 species